rnacentral:rRNA from 1 species
AUUGAACGCUGGCGGCAUGCCUUACACAUGCAAGUCGAACGGAGUGGCGAACGGGUGAGUAAUACAUCGGAACGUGCCUGAUAGUGGGGGAUAACGUUCGGAAACGGACGCUAAUACCGCAUACUAUCAGAUGAGCCUAGGUCGGAUUAGCUAGUUGGUGAGGUAAUGGCUCACCAAGGCUACGAUCCGUAACUGGUCUGAGAGGAUGAUCAGUCACACUGGAACUGAGACACGGUCCAGACUCCUACGGGAGGCAGCAGUGGGGAAUAUUGGACAAUGGGCGAAAGCCUGAUCCAGCCAUGCCGCGUGUGUGAAGAAGGUCUUCGGAUUGUAAAGCACUUUAAGUUGGGAGGCGUUACCGACAGAAUAAGCACCGGCUAACUCUGUGCCAGCAGCCGCGGUAAUAC